rnacentral:rRNA from 1 species
CUACGGAGGGUGCAAGCGUUAUUCGGAAUCACUGGGCGUAAAGGGUGCGUAGGCGGUUUGAUAAGUCUGAUGUGAAAUCCUAUGGCUCAACCAUAGAACUGCAUUGGAAACUGUCAGACUAGAAUACUGAAGGGGCAGAUGGAAUUAGUGGUGUAGGGGUAAAAUCCGUAGAUAUCACUAGGAAUACCGAAAGCGAAAGCGAUCUGCUGGGAAGUUAUUGACGCUGCGGCACGAAAGCGUGGGGAGCAAACGGGAUUAGAAACCCCAGUAGUCC